rfam:Pontibacillus chungwhensis BH030062 contig20, whole genome shotgun sequence.
AAAAGGCGAUGAAGCGAAAGGUUGCUGAAACACCCGGCCCCUUUGCCAUGGCGGGUACUUCAGGCUAAAUUUUCGUGGAGAAUGUCUGUUACUAAAAUAGGCGA